rnacentral:rRNA from 1 species
CAGCAGCCACGGGAAUACGGAGGGGGCUAGCGUUAUUCGGAAUUACUGGGCGUAAAGCGCACGUAGGCGGCUUCGCAAGUCAGAGGUGAAAGCCUGGGGCUCAACUCCAGAAUUGCCUUUGAGACUGCGUCGCUCGAAUCCGGGAGAGGUGAGUGGAAUUCCGAGUGUAGAGGUGAAAUUCGUAGAUAUUCGGAAGAACACCAGUGGCGAAGGCGGCUCACUGGACCGGCAUUGACGCUGAGGUGCGAAAGCGUGGGGAGCAAACAGGAUUAGAUACCCGAGUAGUCCCUGUCUCUUAUAA